rnacentral:lncRNA from 1 species
GCCGCAAAGACCGUCUGAAUUUUGUGACGCUUGCGGCAUAACUAAUCCGAAUACGAAGCUAAAGAUGAGAAAAAAUGGAAGAGACGUUGGUGAAGAUAGGCAAAAUGAGGAGUGAAGACAGUGCCUGCAUUAUACGCCCCAAACAUGACCUAAUCCGUUGGACGCUUAGGCCAUGAGGGGUCGUUUGGUAAGCGGAUUAAGUUAUCCCAGAUAAAAAUCUCAAAAUUAUAAUCCCCGGACUAUUCUAUUCCAAGUUUGAUGGGAUAAGGUAAUAUAUCUAUUUAUAUUCAUAUCUAUAUAAAG